CAGAAACUUUCGCCUGCAGACAAUGCCCUCGAUUUUCAUUCCCACAUGCUCUAUGUGCUUUCCCAAGAAACAAACAGCAAUGUUUCAGCAACCACAUCAUGAACAUGGUAGGUGAUAAUGCAUGAUUUUUGGGCCCCCUCCGUGCAACAUGGCUAUGAUUGGGAAAAUGAAGAAAGAUCUGACUCCUUAUACGUUUGUGACACUCCAGAAGCUAAGUUUAUUUAACCUUAACUCGCAUGUCAGAAAAAAUUUAUUUUGAUAUAUAAUGCAUUGGGGAGCAGAACAGAUAGAAAGACUAUGGUUUCAAAAUAAAGUAAUUUUUUGAUAAUUUUCUCUCUUCUUAGAUCACAGCUAUUUUAGAACAUGGCAAUCACGGUUGGCAUCCAUUGUCAGUGAUAAGACAAUGAAGUAUAGUAAUUCAGAAGUUUGGCUUUUAUAUGAGAUAUGGUUGACUCUUUGUCCUCCGCAUUCUUUGUCAUGGAAAUAUGGAAGAUUUGAUAUCAUCUAGCCAAUUUUUGGAUAAAAAUUAGGUUCAUAGCUUUAUUGUUUUGUUUUGAAUAUAUACAGCCAUACAGCUUUUGCAGUCACGAAAAUAAGAAGUCCAUUCAGAUGUGAGACGUACUCUGGUCUUCAAUUGAGUUUUAGGUGAUCUUAUUCUCUGUCAUGGUGAUCUCAAUCAGCUCUCCCCUGUUACUUAGAAAAGGACUAAUGCUACUGUAUGGGAACAAGCUCUAUAUUAAGAAGUCUCCCACCUUUUAAUUGUAUAGUGUGAAGAUUUCAAGUCAUUAGAUAUCAGUGACGUAGAAAGUUAUGUUUUAAGGGUCACCUAAAAUGGUAUCUCCUAGAGCAAAGGCUUUGCUGGAAAUCCGUUAAACAUAAGCAGCUGAUGGGACAGAUAAGGGAAAAGUGACGUGACUUAGGGGAUAUCUUUUAUCUGACCUCCUUGUGCUGAAAUGAAGACUGGUAUGCUUUAGGGGAAUGUAAUCUCAGAUAUGACCAACGUUUUUGCUGAGAUAAUCACUUGUUUAGUACUAAUCUUUUUGAAGCAGAAAGGCACAACAGAAUUAUCUAGGUUCCUUAUUUUGCCUGUGGAAAGAUUUGCAUGGACAGAGGUUUGUGAAGAUAAUCUGGUGAUCAAGACUAAAUCAUUUUUUAAAAAGGGGGACAAGGUGAAGCACAUAAGUUUUUGUGCUGAAAAGCUUUAAGGGCCUUAAAGCAUUGGUUGUCAGGAAUGUGUUACCUUUUAAGAGUUUGACACCGAGGUAAUAUGCCGUACUGACUUCCAUAUUUUCGCACACCUAAACGAUGUACUUGGCCAUGCAAAAGCCGACAGAUCAUACCUCUCACAGUCACAUAUGAGGAAGAACCUAUUUUUUUAUUUUUUUUUUUUGGCUGGUUGGCAUUAUUUUCAAUGUGAUAAUAUGGCAUCUGUAUUUCCAGAAGAUGUUCAGAGAGACUCAUCCAAAAGAAUGGAAGUCCACAUAAUGAUAAUAGUUCUGCCUAGAGGACAGAUAGGAGCUGGUAUGUGGAAAUUGGUUUGGGGCUUCUUUUUUUUUCCCUCUUGUUUAAUGGAAAUUACUUAUUGCAUAAAGAAUAUAUUUGUUUUUGAUUUUCCAAAUAUAUAUGUGUAUAUAUAUUUUACGAUAGCUAAAGGGCAUCGUAUAAUGGGAUUAGUAAGAUCUACAGAGAACAAAUAAUGCUU